rnacentral:rRNA from 1 species
ACGAAGGGUGCAAACGUUGCUCGGAAUUAUUGGGCGUAAAGCGCACGUAGGCGGCAUAGCAAGUCGGAUGCGAAAUCCCUCGGCUUAACCAAGGAAGUGCAUCCGAAACUGCUGUGCUUGAGUACGAAAGAGGAUCGCGGAAUUCCCGGUGUAGAGGUGAAAUUCGUAGAUAUCGGGAGGAACACCUGUGGCGAAAGCGGCGCACUGGACCACAACUGACGCUGAGGCGCGAAAGCUAGGGGAGCAAACAGGA